UCGCACUCGGUGGUGUCCUCGGUUCCGCUGUUUCCAUGGCUCCUGUUUCCUCCUUUAUUCUCUUCUCCAUGUCCUAAGCCUGUUCUGUAGUGUGGGAUUUACUAGAAGAGCAUGGGGGUUGUUCGAGGAGAAGUUGAAAUCCUAGAGGGAGGAAGCCGGGGAAGCGCAUACCACUUGUGUUAUUUCCAUUACAAGGAACGACUCUGUGUCAUAAAAAUAAGAUCUGAAACUCUCAAGGUUGAAACAGCCAAGCAGAAGUUGAUAGAAAUAUAUUUAGGCAGAGCUAAAUUAUCAGAACGAUGCUUACAUAGAAAGCUGUCCUACUGACUUUUGAAGCGGAUGUCUACAUAUUCUUAGAGUCAUCAUAAGCCUGGGAGCUUAUCUUUACUCCCAAGGAUGAAGUUUACAACCUGCACAGAUGGACUGGAGCAGACCACAUAGCUGGAAUUUAGCACCCAGGGACUGGGAUAACCUCACUAGCUCUGUGUCCUUGAACAUGCCCCCACAAAGACCUCUGUAGAGACAAGACCAUAUUAGAUCAUACUUGAAUGAUAAGCAAAUAUUAAUGCCAAGGACUCACUAAGAAUAAAAUCAGACAGACACGUGAAUUUGCUGGAGAGAAUUAUAAAAUCAGAGGCUGAAGGAGAUUGGCGAUGAGGACCUCACAAUUCAAAGUUCAUUCAAGACAUCUUUGAUACAUUCCCAAACACAAGGUCAUCUGGAUGCCUGCAUCUUGGGGCUCACUAAGUAAGUAUCUUGGAACCAGAGUUUUUCUCUUUCAAUUUUGGUUCCACUAGAAUUCCUAAAAUGGCAAUUCCUAUGCUUUAGAGAGCAUGUUAAUCUCCUGGAAGUGCUUGUUGGAAAUGUAGAUGCCUGCUGACCCUGAGAAGCUCCUGGAGACGAUGCUGCUGCAGGUGGGCUGAGCCCAUUGUCUGCGUGUUACUGCCAUCACGGCGUCACACUGGUUGACAAGUGCAGGUCUUGUGCCACUCAGAAAGAAAGUCGUGUUUUCUCUCCCACUGAUCUCUCACCAAGAACUAUGAGUAAAGACUAAAUAAAAGGAACAGGUCUAAAGAAAAACAACACAGAAUAGACAAACCCCCAGUUUUAUAUGGAUGUACUUCUGAAAGGUUGUAUAUAAAUCAGAUUUCUGUGAGUUAAUCUUUACUUUCCCUUCACUUAAAU
rnacentral:lncRNA from 1 species